rnacentral:rRNA from 1 species
UGGGGAAUCUUAGACAAUGGGGGCAACCCUGAUCUAGCCAUGCCGCGUGAGUGAUGAAGGCCUUAGGGUUGUAAAGCUCUUUCAGCUGUGAAGAUAAUGACGGUAGCAGCAGAAGAAGUCCCGGCUAACUCCGUGCCAGCAGCCGCGGUAAUACGGAGGGGACUAGCGUUGUUCGGAAUUACUGGGCGUAAAGCGCACGUAGGCGGAUCGGAAAGUUGGGGGUGAAAUCCCGGGGCUCAACCCCGGAACUGCCUUCAAAACUAUUGGUCUGGAGUUCGAGAGAGGUGAGUGGAAUACCGAGUGUAGAGGUGAAAUUCGUAGAUAUUCGGUGGAACACCAGUGGCGAAGGCGGCUCACUGGCUCGAUACUGACGCUGAGGUGCGAAAGCGUGGGGAGCAAACAG